AUGGGACUAGAUCAGCUGGAUAAUCAGCUGGAUAGGUAUCGAUACUGUACAGCCCAAGAAGAAUGGAAGGCUUUGGUCUGACUGAUGGGGAAGGGAUGGAAAGACUAUGGUCUUAUUUGAGGCCAUUUUUCCGAGUUACCAAAGAGAUGACGCCUUCCCAUCGCCUAGACCUACUCACAGAUGCCACGCUGCACUAUGCCAGGAAGUCAACUGACAUAGAGUCAAGCAUAUGCAGUCGGUGGGAUAAAGCUGAGAAAGCUUUCACACAAGCGCAAGAAGAACUGUCGCAGAUCAUUUCCCAAGCACCUGGU